rnacentral:lncRNA from 1 species
UGCUUUCCUAAAUGUAUUGAACUUGUACUUUUUGUUUGCAGAUAUUCAAUUUAAAAGUAUGACAAAAUGUAUUUGGAGGUACAAUUAAUGUGCUUUUACAUAUAUCAGCAAUUAUUUUAAUACACUGCCAACAUUGCUUCUUUGAUAGUGUUUUACUUUGCAUUUAACAAAACUUUCAUACGCUAUCCCACAACUUUUUUUUACAAAACUGAAUUUUCAUAAACUUCCUUCGAAAU